AGCUUUGCUAGAUAUGAUUAGUGGCGGACGGGUGAGUAACAUUUAGGAAUCUGCCUAGUAGUGGGGGAUAGCUCGGGGAAACUCGAAUUAAUACCGCAUACGACCUACGGGUGAAAGGGGGCGCAAGCUCUUGCUAUUAGAUGAGCCUAAAUCAGAUUAGCUAGUUGGUGGGGUAAAGGCCUACCAAGGCGACGAUCUGUAACUGGUCUGAGAGGAUGAUCAGUCACACCGGAACUGAGACACGGUCCGGACUCCUACGGGAGGCAGCAGUGGGGAAUAUUGGACAAUGGGGGCAACCCUGAUCCAGCCAUGCCGCGUGUGUGAAGAAGGCCUUUUGGUUGUAAAGCACUUUAAGCAGGGAGGAGAGGCUAAUGGUUAAUACCCAUUAGAUUAGACGUUACCUGCAGAAUAAGCACCGGCUAACUCUGUGCCAGCAGCCGCGGUAAUACAGAGGGUGCGAGCGUUAAUCGGAAUUACUGGGCGUAAAGCGAGUGUAGGUGGCUCAUUAAGUCACAUGUGAAAUCCCCGGGCUUAACCUGGGAACUGCAUGUGAUACUGGUGGUGCUAGAAUAUGUGAGAGGGAAGUAGAAUUCCAGGUGUAGCGGUGAAAUGCGUAGAGAUCUGGAGGAAUACCGAUGGCGAAGGCAGCUUCCUGGCAUAAUAUUGACACUGAGAUUCGAAAGCGUGGGUAGCAAACAGGAUUAGAUACCCUGGUAGUCCACGCCGUAAACGAUGUCUACUAGCCGUUGGGGUCCUUGAGACUUUAGUGGCGCAGUUAACGCGAUAAGUAGACCGCCUGGGGAGUACGGCCGCAAGGUUAAAACUCAAAUGAAUUGACGGGGGCCCGCACAAGCGGUGGAGCAUGUGGUUUAAUUCGAUGCAACGCGAAGAACCUUACCUGGUCUUGACAUAGUGAGAAUCCUGCAGAGAUGCGGGAGUGCCUUCGGGAAUUCACAUACAGGUGCUGCAUGGCUGUCGUCAGCUCGUGUCGUGAGAUGUUGGGUUAAGUCCCGCAACGAGCGCAACCCUUUUCCUUAUUUGCCAGCGGGUUAAGCCGGGAACUUUAAGGAUACUGCCAGUGACAAACUGGAGGAAGGCGGGGACGACGUCAAGUCAUCAUGGCCCUUACGACCAGGGCUACACACGUGCUACAAUGGUAGGUACAGAGGGUUGCUACACAGCGAUGUGAUGCUAAUCUCAAAAAGCCUAUCGUAGUCCGGAUUGGAGUCUGCAACUCGACUCCAUGAAGUCGGAAUCGCUAGUAAUCGCAGAUCAGAAUGCUGCGGUGAAUACGUUCCCGGGCCUUGUACACACCGCCCGUCACACCAUGGGAGUCUAUUGCACCAGAAGUAGGUAGCCUAAC
rnacentral:rRNA from 1 species